UGAUAUGCUUGUCUCAAAGACUAAGCCAUGCAAGUCUAAGUACAUGCCGAAUUAAGGUGAAACCGCGAAUGGCUCAUUAAAUCAGUUAUGGUUCCUUAGAUCGUACUUUUCUACUUGGAUAACUGUGGCAAUUCUAGAGCUAAUACAUGCAGCAGAGCUCCGACCUUCGGGGACGAGCGCUUUUAUUAGACCAAGACCAAUCGGACCUCGGUCCGUAUACCACGGCGACUCUGGAUAACUUUGGGCUGAUCGCACGAUCUAGCAUCGGCGAUAUUUCUUUCAAGUGUCUGCCUUAUCAACUGUCGAUGGUAGGUUAUGCGCCUACCAUGGUCGUAACGGGUAACGGGGAAUCAGGGUUCGAUUCCGGAGAGGGAGCCUGAGAAACGGCUACCACAUCCAAGGAAGGCAGCAGGCGCGCAAAUUACCCACUCCCGGCACGGGGAGGUAGUGACGAAAAAUAACAAUACGGGACUCUCUUGAGGCCCCGUAAUUGGAAUGAGUACAAUCUAAAUCCUUUAACGAGGAUCUAUUGGAGGGCAAGUCUGGUGCCAGCAGCCGCGGUAAUUCCAGCUCCAAUAGCGUAUAUUAAAGUUGUUGCGGUUAAAAAGCUCGUAGUUGGAUCUCAGUUGCAGACAGGCGGUCCACCUUACGGUGGUUACUGCCUGGCCUGAACGUCCUGCCGGUUUUCUCUCGGUGCUCUUCAUUGAGUGUCUUGAGUGGCCGGCACGUUUACUUUGAAAAAAUUAGAGUGCUCAAAGCAGGCGUGACGCCUGAAUAAUGGUGCAUGGAAUAAUGGAAUAGGACCUCGGUUCUAUUGUGUUGGUUUUCGGAACACGAGGUAAUGAUUAAGAGGGACAGACGGGGGCAUUCGUAUUGCGACGCUAGAGGUGAAAUUCUUGGACCGUCGCAAGACGAACUACUGCGAAAGCAUUUGCCAAGAAUGUUUUCAUUAAUCAAGAACGAAAGUUAGAGGUUCGAAGGCGAUCAGAUACCGCCCUAGUUCUAACCAUAAACGAUGUUGACCAGCGAUCCGCCUGAGUUUCUCAAUUGACUCGGCGGGCAGCUUCCGGGAAACCAAAGUUUUUGAAUUCCGGGGGAAGUAUGGUUGCAAAGUCGAAAC
rnacentral:rRNA from 1 species